CCACCUAACAAGUGAGACAGCAUGCUCACAAGGGUGUUUUUCCCAGGGAAAGGUCUGUCUCUUGCACAUCAGGUGUGCCAAUUCCUGCAGUUUCCCCAAAUGCAGGGAACUUGACUUCAACUUUUUUGAUAAUGGCAAGCUCUGCUC
rnacentral:snRNA from 1 species